rnacentral:rRNA from 1 species
UACAGAGGGUGCAAACGUUGUUCGGAAUUACUGGGCGUAAAGCGCGUGUAGGCGGUUGCCCAAGUCGGGUGUGAAAGCCUUGAGCUCAACUCAAGAAAUGCACUCGGUACUGGGUGACUAGAGGACCGGAGAGGAUAGUGGAAUUCCCAGUGUAGUGGUGAAAUACGUAGAGAUUGGGAAGAGCACCAGUGGCGAAGGCGGCUAUCCGGACGGUUUCUGACGCUAAGACGCGAAAGCGUGGGGAGCAAACAGG